GAUGAACGCUAGCUACAGGCUUAACACAUGCAUGUCGAGGGGUAACGAGAGGAAAGCUUGCUUUCCUUGUUGACGACCGGCGCACGGGUGAGUAACGCGUAUCCAACCUGCCCCCAACUAGGGAAUAACCUUGCGAAAGUGAGACUAAUACCCUAUAAUUUCCUCAGAUGUCAUCUGACGAGGAAUAAAGAUUUAUCGGUUGUGGAUGGGGAUGCGUCUGAUUAGCUUGUUGGCGGGGUAACGGCCCACCAAGGCAACGAUCAGUAGGGGUUCUGGGAGGAAGGUCCCCCACAUUGGAACUGAGACACGGUCCAAACUCCUACGGGAGGCAGCAGUGAGGAAUAUUGGUCAAUGGGCGGAAGCCUGAACCAGCCAAGUAGCGUGCAGGAUGACGGCCCUAUGGGUUGUAAACUGCUUUUAUACAGGAAUAAAGUUAGCCACGUGUGGUUAUUUGUAGGUACUGUAUGAAUAAGGACCGGCUAAUUCCGUGCCAGCAGCCGCCGUAA
rnacentral:rRNA from 1 species